rnacentral:rRNA from 1 species
AGAAUCAACGCUGGCGGCGUGCCUAACACAUGCAAGUCGAACGAGAAAGUGGAGCAAUCCAUGAGUAAAGUGGCGCACGGGUGAGUAACACGUGACUAACCUACCCUUGAGUGGGGGAUAACCUAGGGAAACCUGGGCUAAUACCGCAUAAUACCUUCGGGUCAAAGGAGCAAUUCGCUUAAGGAGGGGGUCGCGGCCGAUUAGUUAGUUGGCGGGGUAAUGGCCCACCAAGACUGUGAUCGGUGUCCGGCCUGAGAGGGCGCGACGGACGACGACUGGAACUGAAACACGGUCCAGACUCCUACGGGAGGCAGCAGUGGGGAAUUUUGCGCAAUGGGGGAAACCCUGACGCAGCAACGCCGCGUGGAGGAUGAAGUCCCUUGGGACGUAAACUCCUUUCGAUCGGGACGAUUAUGACGGUACCGGAAGAAGAAGCCCCGGCUAACUUCGUGCCAGCAGCCGC